AAUAAAAGGUCCAUGUGUCCAUGUGCCAUUUCCAUGUGUCACCAACUAGGAGAGUCCAAAGGUUCACAUAGGUAUGAAUUCACCAUUUGAGAGCCAUAAAAGCGGCCACUCCCAAGUUCUUCCCAUGCUCUCAUGUUGUAUAUCCGUGAAGGUAUUUAGUGCAAGGCCCUGGGGGUGGACUAGUAACAAGGUAUAUAGCACAUGUCCGAGGACAAAUUGGAGCUACAAGACAAUGCCGUCAUUAGCUCUUUGUCCUUUUAAAUUAUACUUAUUCAGGUAGUUACUGCCUGGUUACAAAGAAGUAAUUAAAAAAAAAAUGUGCCAAAUAAAGCCCUGGGGUCCAUAUAAAAAACACUUUAAAAGAUGGCCGGGGGCAGGAUAGACUUCAGCAAGUCUCAAGAGUUGGGUUUAAUUCAACUUCUAAGUGGUGUAUUAAAUAAAAUCCCCAGAGACUCAUGGGCCCUAAACAUGGUCUGUGUUAGCAUCAGAAUCUGCCUCUCUUCAAAUCUGAGUGAUUUACUAUACUUUUGGGGAUUUGUAAAAUAAAUAUGUGAUUCUCCCUACAUGUAUCACUGGAGUUGCUUCAAACACAAAGAACAUUGCCCUGGGAAAUGGAAAAAGUACCAGGGAAAAGAAUGUUGCUUUGACAAUAUUCAACACAAUACGAUUAGCUACAGAAGUAGGCCAAAAACAAGGUUUCUUCAUUGUCGGUAGAAACUGCUUAUAAAGAACUUGGUGGGAAAUCAAUGCUUCCAUAUCCUCCCUUUUCAGGUCAUUUUAUUCCUGUUCUAUUGCUCAGUUUACAGGAAAUUCUGAUAACAAAGAACACUAAUGUCUCCUAACCUUUUUACCCACUGAGUUGCCAUAUUCCAAGCGGAGGAUUUCUGUGUGCCUAAGAUUGAAUGUGUUCACCCCAAGCAUACUGCAGCUUCUUACACCAUUUUUUCAUAUCUGAAUAGAGUCUGUCAGGAAGGUGAUGGAUGAAUCUUACUGGGAGACUAAUCUUACUGAGAGACUUUUAAGUAAGAUCUAUAAACUCUCUUUGAUAUGUUUAGAAAAUAUGUUGCAGAAAAUUACUGGUGAUUAAUUAAAGCAGCAAGAAAAAAAACAGGAAAACCCAGAAAUUUAAACUUUGGAUAUAUCUUUUUACUAAUCAUAAAUGUACAGAUAUAAUUAAAUAUAUAAUACCAUAUAUUGUGAAACAAUGACCAAAAUGACUCUAUGAAACAUAAUUCCUAAUGGACUACUCUAUUUUCCUUUUAUUAAGACGGACCUAAUAGAAUUGGAUAACCCAAUGGACAAAGUAGUUAGUACCUAUAUUUAAGUACAGUUUUAGAUUCUGUUACCAGGAUGUUCUCAACAGCAUACAAGAAAAUUAUGGUCAUAUCUGGGCAUCAUUAUUCUUACAGCAGGAAGUUUUCUUUCUUUCCUUUCACAAAGAACAUUCUAAAAGCUACAGGAUGGAAGCCAGCAUAGCUUGUGCCUCUUUCCAUUAUCUACUGUAAUUCCUAAUCUCUCUCUCUACUAAGAGAAAAGAAUCUUUUCUUUUGAUUGUUUGGUCACACCACACUACAACUCAAACAUUCUGAGCUGACCCAGUGGGGACAUGCAAACAUUUUCCAUAAGAGCCUUGUGGUCAGUGAUAUACAGGUUCAGAAUUCUGGGAUCUAUUAUUAACAAGCCAUGAGAAGUCAGAAAUCCUUUCAAGCUCUUGUACUCUGCUUCUUUGACCAUCACAAGAGAAUUCAACUUUCUGUUUAACUUAGAAAGGCUUGGGAUAAAGGUGAUUUUAAGUAAAACAUAAUUACCUAUUAUUUUUACUUAUCACAUUGUAGGAUAAAAUAUUGUACAUUUUACUAAUAGCAGGAAAUAAAUUUACUAAGCAGGGAAUAAAGUAUGUGGUAUUUCUGGCAUAGGAUGUAUAUACAGUUCCAGAUUUUCACAGUUUCUUGUUUUAGUGACUUUUAUUCAUUAGAAUUAGCAAAUUUAGAUUUCUGAGUUUGAUUUUCUUCAGGGGAUUUUAUUAUUGCAUUACGGUUUUGAAGCCUAACAGAAAGAACAUAUUUUACAGAGUCUGUAAAACAAUAAGGGAUGGGGGAAGUGUCUAUGUAUUUGUCAUCUGUUUUUAAGGUUAAUUAAUAAUCUCUCUCACAAGAGAGAAAAAGAAGGCUCUCUUCCAGGCCUCUUUGUUUCUUCUCUGCCUAGAAUGCAUAUUCCCAUGUUUUCACGUAGCUAAUUCUUUAACUUUUUUUAUGUCUCAGCUGCAUCAGGGAAACAUUCACUAGUCCUUGUGAUAGCAAGGCUCCAUUAACAUCUGUUUCAACCUUUUUCUAGUGAGUCUUCAUCUUCCGAAGAGGCUAGACAGCUAACAAAAAUACAUUUCCUUGACUCUCUUGCAACUUGGAUUCCAGAUAGAUUUGGUUUCGGCAAUGAGGCAAACUUGAGUGAGACUUGAAUUUCAAACUAAUGUAGUGACACAUGGGAAACUCAUUAUUUUGGGGGGACGUGACUCUAGAGGGAAUACUGCAGUCCUGCAGCUUGCAGUUCUGCUAGCAGCUUUCUGACUCUGGCCUAUGUAUGUAGAAGUUUCCAUAGUGAGCCAGAACAGCAAUUUUGUUCUAGGACUUAUUCCUGGGAUGACUUACCUACCCUUUCCAAUGAUUUGAAAGUACUUAGUUAAAUUCUUUUCUGCUUAAAAUAGCUACAGUAGUUGCUACUACCUGCAGUUGAACCCUGUUGAUGCUCUAUUUUGCAACGAAAGCAUGUGUAGGCAACAGACUCUCAAAAGUUUGAAUAUUUGACCUGAUGAGUUUGAAGGCAGAGGGGAUCCGUUUCCAUUAGAGCAGCAGUUCUCAAAGUUAAGUUCCUGGACCAGCAGCAUCAGCAUCUGGGAACUUGUUAAAAAUGCAAAUUCUUGGGUCCCAACACAGACCUACUGAAUCAGAAACCCUGGGAGUGGGGCUCAGCAAUCUGCGUUACAAAAACCUUCCAGGUGAUUCUGAUGAAUGCUGAACUUUGAGAACCACUGCAUUAGGGAUAGGUUAUUGGUAGUAAAUAGUAGUUAACAGUCAUUUUAAGUGAACAGUUUAGAAAAAAAUGCCUUUUUGUGGACCCAGUGGUGACUGCCAUAUCACAGUGUGAUGGGCAGAAACUAUUAUAGGCUUUCUAAAAGUCUGGGUUUUCCAGAAUCCAUUCAUUGAUUCAUUCAUUGAUUCAAUCAUUAGACAAAACACAUAAACCAAGUUCAUGUUAAGCAAUCACUAAAUGACAGCUAUUAUUAUUAUCACCAAGAACUAACAGCCUGAAGGGAAAGAUAGAUACAUAAAUGAAAUACAUAUUUUUUAAGUGGAAUAACAGAAGGAAGUAUGUUAGUAGCUUGCCCAAGUGAUCCCUAACAACACAAUGAUAGAGAAUGAUACUUCUUAAUGGAGAGCAGUUUAAUUCCAGGUCUUUGAAUAAAGCCACCUUGACAGCUGCCACAUUACACCUUAUGGAAGACCAUUAUCUCUUUUCUCCACUUUCCGCAUGCCCAAGAGGGGUGUUUUUAAAGAAGAAACCACACAAUUAGUUUAUAAGGCUUUUAGAAUUUAUCUUUUUCGAAGAGGGAAGUGAAUCCAAAGACAGAUAAGAAAGAAAACUACUUUUAAAACGGGAAUGAGUAUGAAAUUCAGUAAAUCUUGCAGACAGUAAAGAAAUGAAUCAGGCACAGUGGGACUGGACUAGUAUAUUUUCUUUAAUAACAGCAUCAACAUGUUAUAUGAUUUUUCCUUUUUUUCUAACAUUAUAUAAGUGAAUCCCUUUAAAUCUCAAUAAGAAAGAGGCACCGACUAUAGAAAGUUUUAUAAUGUGCUUAUAGUUUUUCAAAAUCAUAUAGAAAGCAUGUAAUAAUGUUAAGAUUCUGAUAUAAUAUGCAUACAUUUAUAAGAAAACUUUUAGAGUAAAUUUAUGAUUGCAAUUGGGAAUAAUAUACACAGAUCUGAUUACCAUCUUGGUUAUUGAGUUCCAAAUAAAAAAAAUGACACUAAAACUAUGGUGUUUAGAACUAUACACAGUAGUUAGUAAAGAAGAAGCUCAAGAACAGUGCCCUCAUAUUUUGGAGCUAAGCUUAUCACUGGAAGUAACCCACUAGUAAAAUCAAAUCAAAACAGACAAGAUUAGCUUGUCACAUGAAGGCAGAAAGAAUCAAACAGAAAAUCUAGUAGGUCUUGCCAAUGUGAAAAACAUGUAGCCCAGUUAAUGUUACAUACAUCUACAAAAAUCAAUGUCUCAAUCGAUGGUGUACAGAAAGUCCAAAGUAUUGUUUCAGAGGAUUUCUAGGACUGUUUGAGGAAGAUGAUGCCUUGGGGCUUCCCAACCACUGAGUUGUGGACUGGUACCCGACCGUGGCUGGUUAGGAACCAGGCCACAUAGCAGGAGGUGUUUUUCCCGCCACCCUGACUGAUCUCCUACAGAAGGCAAAAAAGGCUGUCAAUCAAUGAAUCAAAUAUUUACUUCCUAGUUUUUCAGAUAAUAAAUAAGCACUUAUUAUAUUCUGAUAAUUAAUUAACUUUCUAAUAACCAUAACAGGUCAGCCGGGGUCCUUUUAUUAUUAUCUCCGCAACUUGCAACUAAGGAUCAUUAAAAGAUAUAUGCAAAAUGCUCAGUUUAACACCUAAUUUAUGCUACACCCAAUUUUAAGCCAAGAGAAGGUUAGAUUUAUAAUGGGAUACAACACUCAAGCAACAGAAGUGGAAAAAAUAAAGAUUCUGAAUUUCCUAUCCACUAAUUACUUUGUUAUAACUGGAGAAAUUUUUCUGGACACAGGCGUAAAUAUUUAGUAGAUUUAAUUCUCUUAAGAAUAAAUUUGUUAAAAUAAAAAUUAAGAAAAUAUUUGAUAGCUUUUCCAUUUAUUUUGGGUUUUAAAUUGAGAUAACCAGACAAACGACAGCAAUUUUGGUGAUUGCUGGAUGAUACAAACACCUGUGUAGCUAGGGCUGUACAGGCAUUUUUAUUUGGUUGACAGACAACUAGAACUGAAAUCAGUUGCUGAAUUUCAACCAAUUUAAGUGAAUUACUUGACCUACAAGCUAUGUAACCCUAAAUUUCUCAAUGCAGCUGCCAGAAAUCUAUUUUCUAAAUGCAACAACAGCUGGUUUUGAACAAUACUGGAAUAUAGCAAUUUUCAGUUAUUC
rnacentral:lncRNA from 1 species